rnacentral:rRNA from 1 species
GACGAACGCUGGCGGCGUGGAUUAGGCAUGCAAGUCGAACGGUAUCAUCCUUUCGGGGGUGAGAGAGUGGCGAACUGGUGAGUAACACGUAGGUUAAUCUACCCUCAAGACGGGGACAACCCAGGGAAACUUGGGCUAAUACCGGAUGUGAGCAACUUUUAGUUGUUUGAAAGGUGGCGUAAGCUGUCGCUUGGGGAUGAGCCUGCGUCCUAUUAGUUAGUUGGUGAGGUAACGGCUCACCUAGGCAAUGAUAGGUAGGCGGCCUUAACGGGUGGUCGCCCACACUGGGAUUGAGAUACGGCCCAGACUCCGUACGGGAGGCAGCAGUCGAGAAUAGUCUACAAUGGUCGGAAGACUGAUAGUGCGACGCCGCGUGAACGAUGAAUCCCUUCGGGGUGUAAAGUUCUUUUAUAUGUGAGCAGUGCUUCUUAUAUUAACAGUAUGGGGAGAGAGAUAUUAGCAUAUGAAUAAGCAACGGCUAACUCCGUGCCAGCAGCCGGGU